rnacentral:rRNA from 1 species
UACGAAGGGGGCUAGCGUUGUUCGGAGUUACUGGGCGUAAAGGGCGCGCAGGCGGCCCUCCAAGUCAGGCGUGAAAGCCCCGGGCUCAACCCGGGAAUAGCGCUUGAGACUGGGGGGCUUGAGUUCGGGAGAGGAGAGUGGAAUUCCCAGUGUAGAGGUGAAAUUCGUAGAUAUUGGGAAGAACACCGGUGGCGAAGGCGGCUCUCUGGACCGACACUGACGCUGAGGCGCGAAAGCGUGGGGAGCAAACAGG